rnacentral:rRNA from 1 species
GACGAACGCUGGCGGCAGGCUUAACACAUGCAAGUCGAGCGCCCCGCAAGGGGAGCGGCAGACGGGUGAGUAACGCGUGGGAACGUGCCUUUCGGUUCGGAACAACUCAGGGAAACUUGAGCUAAAACCGGAUACGCCCUUCGGGGGAAAGUUUACGCCGAAAGAUCGGCCCGCGUCAGAUUAGGUAGUUGGUGGGGUAAUGGCCUACCAAGCCUACGAUCUGUAGCUGUUCUGAGAGGAAGAUCAGCCACACUGGGACUGAGACACGGCCCAGACUCCUACGGGAGGCAGCAGUGGGGAAUAUUGGACAAUGGGCGCAAGCCUGAUCCAGCCAUGCCGCGUGGAUGAAGAAGGCCCUAGGGUUGUAAAGUCCUUUCGGUGGUGAAGAUAAUGACGGUAACCACAGAAGAAGCCCCGGCUAAUUUCG